rnacentral:rRNA from 1 species
UACGUAGGGGGCAAGCGUUGUCCGGAAUUACUGGGCGUAAAGGGCGCGUAGGCGGCACUGUUAGUCAGGCGUGAAAGUCCUGGGCUCAACCUGGGAACUGCGCUUGAUACGGCAGAGCUAGAGGAUGGAAGAGGCUCGCGGAAUUCCCAGUGUAGAGGUGAAAUUCGUAGAUAUUGGGGAAAGAACACCGGGUGGCGAAGGCGGCGAGCUGGUCCAUUACUGACGCUGAGGCGCGACAGCGUGGGGAGCAAACAGG